CUGGAGGACCGAACCGACUAAUGUUGAAAAAUUAGCGGAUGACUUGUGGCUGGGGGUGAAAGGCCAAUCAAACCGGGAGAUAGCUGGUUCUCCCCGAAAGCUAUUUAGGUAGCGCCUCGUGAAUUCAUCUCCGGGGGUAGAGCACUGUUUCGGCAAGGGGGUCAUCCCGACUUACCAACCCGAUGCAAACUGCGAAUACCGGAGAAUGUUAUCACGGGAGACACACGGCGGGUGCUAACGUCCGUCGUGAAGAGGGAAACAACCCAGACCGCCAGCUAAGGUCCCAAAGUCAUGGUUAAGUGGGAAACGAUGUGGGAAGGCCCAGACAGCCAGGAUGUUGGCUUAGAAGCAGCCAUCAUUUAAAGAAAGCGUAAUAGCUCACUGGUCGAGUCGGCCUGCGCGGAAGAUGUAACGGGGCUAAACCAUGCACCGAAGCUGCGGCAGCGACACUAUGUGUUGUUGGGUAGGGGAGCGUUCUGUAAGCCUGUGAAGGUGGCCUGUGAGGG
rnacentral:rRNA from 1 species